UAUAUAUAUGUCAAUUACGUGCAAAGGUUUCUCGAAAUAAUAGGGUUGAGCUGGAGUCUAUGGUUGGUAUGGUUCCCCAGUAAUUGGAAAAAUUUCAUGUUAACAGAUUCUUCAUCUUUAUUGUUAUUAUGAUGCAAAAGUUGGGUGUGGCAUAUAGAUAGAUUAAUUAGUAUUGACAAUAUUAAAAAGUUGAUAUUAUUUGUGUUUGAAGGAUUUGGAUUACGGCAGAGGGCGUGUGGUGAAAGGAGAAAAAGGUAAAGGUAGGAGAUUUGCUUGCAGAUUUGAAACUGUCCAAAUGGGGAAACAAGGCUUCCACGCACAGUGCCAAAUUUUGUUAUCUCUUCACAAAUAGGUAAGCAUGCCUGCAAUUUGGAUUCGCUACUUUGGGUUUAGUUUAGACCUUAACCCAUUUUCAGCAACCAUAUUAAUCUCUUCAUCUCUACGUGCACUCUAAACACAUUUCUUAAAUAUGCUUCAUAGAGUAAUUCUCUCGUCUUCUUCCUUAAGGGGAAACUAAAACACAAAUCCUGCUAAAUCUUAC
rnacentral:lncRNA from 1 species